rnacentral:rRNA from 1 species
CAGUAGCCGCGGUAAUACGUAGGUGGCAAGCGUUGUCCGGAAUUAUUGGGCGUAAAGGGCUCGCAGGCGGUUUCUUAAGUCUGAUGUGAAAGCCCCCGGCUCAACCGGGGAGGGUCAUUGGAAACUGGGAAACUUGAGUGCAGAAGAGGAGAGCGGAAUUCCACGUGUAGCGGUGAAAUGCGUAGAGAUGUGGAGGAACACCAGUGGCGAAGGCGACUCUCUGGUCUGUAACUGACGCUGAGGAGCGAAAGCGUGGGGAGCGAACAGGAUUAGAUACCCCCGUAGUCCCUGUCUCUUAUAC